GUACCUUUUGUAUAAUGGGUCAGCGACUUAUAUUCUGUAGCAAGGUUAACCGAAUAGGGGAGCCGAAGGGAAACCGAGUCUUAACUGGGCGUUAAGUUGCAGGGUAUAGACCCGAAACCCGGUGAUCUAGCCAUGGGCAGGUUGAAGGUUGGGUAACACUAACUGGAGGACCGAACCGACUAAUGUUGAAAAAUUAGCGGAUGACUUGUGGCUGGGGGUGAAAGGCCAAUCAAACCGGGAGAUAGCUGGUUCUCCCCGAAAGCUAUUUAGGUAGCGCCUCGUGAAUUCAUCUCCGGGGGUAGAGCACUGUUUCGGCAAGGGGGUCAUCCCGACUUACCAACCCGAUGCAAACUGCGAAUACCGGAGAAUGUUAUCACGGGAGACACACGGCGGGUGCUAACGUCCGUCGUGAAGAGGGAAACAACCCAGACCGCCAGCUAAGGUCCCAAAGUCAUGGUUAAGUGGGAAACGAUGUGGGAAGGCCCAGACAGCCAGGAUGUUGGCUUAGAAGCAGCCAUCAUUUAAAGAAAGCGUAAUAGCUCACUGGUCGAGUCGGCCUGCGCGGAAGAUGUAACGGGGCUAAACCAUGCACCGAAGCUGCGGCAGCGACGCUGAUGCGUUGUUGGGUAGGGGAGCGUUCUGUAAGCCUGCGAAGGUGUGCUGUGAGGCAUGCUGGAGGUAUCAGAAGUGCGAAUGCUGACAUAAGUAACGAUAAAGCGGGUGAAAAGCCCGCUCGCCGGAAGACCAAGGGUUCCUGUCCAACGUUAAUCGGGGCAGGGUGAGUCGACCCCUAAGGCGAGGCCGAAAGGCGUAGUCGAUGGGAAACAGGUUAAUAUUCCUGUACUUGGUGUUACUGCGAAGGGGGGACGGAGAAGGCUAUGUUGGCCGGGCGACGGUUGUCCCGGUUUAAGCGUGUAGGCUGGUUUUCCAGGCAAAUCCGGAAAAUCAAGGCUGAGGCGUGAUGACGAGGCACUACGGUGCUGAAGCAACAAAUGCCCUGCUUCCAGGAAAAGCCUCUAAGCAUCAGGUAACAUCAAAUCGUACCCCAAACCGACACAGGUGGUCAGGUAGAGAAUACCAAGGCGCUUGAGAGAACUCGGGUGAAGGAACUAGGCAAAAUGGUGCCGUAACUUCGGGAGAA
rnacentral:rRNA from 1 species